GGGCCCGUAGCUCAGUUGGUUAGAGCGCGCCGCUCAUAACGGUGUGGUCGCAGGUUCGAGCCCUGCCGGGCCUACCA
rnacentral:tRNA from 1 species